GACGAACGCUGGCGGCGUGCUUAACACAUGCAAGUCGAACGGAAAGGCCCUGCUUUUGUGGGGUGCUCGAGUGGCGAACGGGUGAGUAACACGUGAGUAACCUGCCCUUGACUUUGGGAUAACUUCAGGAAAAUGGGGCUAAUACCGGAUAGGAGCUCCUGCUGCAUGGUGGGGGUUGGAAAGUUUCGGCGGUUGGGGAUGGACUCGCGGCUUAUCAGCUUGUUGGUGGGGUAGUGGCUUACCAAGGCUUUGACGGGUAGCCGGCCUGAGAGGGUGACCGGCCACAUUGGGACUGAGAUACGGCCCAGACUCCUACGGGAGGCAGCAGUGGGGAAUAUUGCACAAUGGGCGGAAGCCUGAUGCAGCAACGCCGCGUGCGGGAUGACGGCCUUCGGGUUGUAAACCGCUUUCGCCUGUGACGAAGCGUGAGUGACGGUAAUGGGUAAAGAAGCACCGGCUAACUACGUGCCAGCAGCCGCGGUGAUACGUAGGGUGCGAGCGUUGUCCGGAUUUAUUGGGCGUAAAGGGCUCGUAGGUGGUUGAUCGCGUCGGAAGUGUAAUCUUGGGGCUUAACCCUGAGCGUGCUUUCGAUACGGGUUGACUUGAGGAAGGUAGGGGAGAAUGGAAUUCCUGGUGGAGCGGUGGAAUGCGCAGAUAUCAGGAGGAACACCAGUGGCGAAGGCGGUUCUCUGGGCCUUUCCUGACGCUGAGGAGCGAAAGCGUGGGGAGCGAACAGGCUUAGAUACCCUGGUAGUCCACGCUGUAAACGGUGGGUACUAGGUGUGGGGUCCAUUCCACGGGUUCCGUGCCGUAGCUAACGCUUUAAGUACCCCGCCUGGGGAGUACGGCCGCAAGGCUAAAACUCAAAGGAAUUGACGGGGCCCCGCACAAGCGGCGGAGCAUGCGGAUUAAUUCGAUGCAACGCGUAGAACCUUACCUGGGUUUGACAUGGAUCGGGAGUGCUCAGAGAUGGGUGUGCCUCUUUUGGGGUCGGUUCACAGGUGGUGCAUGCCUGUCGUCAGCUCGUGUCGUGAGAUGUUGGGUUAAGUCCCGCAACGAGCGCAACCCUUGUUCACUGUUGCCAGCACGUUAUGGUGGGGACUCAGUGGAGACCGCCGGGGUCAACUCGGAGGAAGGUGGGGAUGACGUCAAGUCCUCAUGCCCCUUAUGUCCAGGGCUUCACGCAUGCUACAAUGGCUGGUACAGAGAGUGGCGAGCCUGUGAGGGUGAGCGAAUCUCGGAAAGCCGGUCUCAGUUCGGAUUGGGGUCUGCAACUCGACCUCACGAAGUCGGAGUCGCUAGUAAUCGCAGAUCAGCAACGCUGCGGUGAAUACGUUCCCGGG
rnacentral:rRNA from 1 species